CAGAAAUAUUUAAUGACAAUAGUUAGAUGAGCUUUCAUUUCUCUUGAUGAUGUGUUUGGAUACUAAUAGAUAAACAGACUUCAAUGGCUUAUCAAAGGUUUAAAUUGAACUACUGUGAUCAACUGAACUAUAAGUAAGGGAGCCCCAGAAAAAGGAGAACUCCAUUGGUAGACUCCAAUGCAGCCAAGCAUUCUCAGCUUCAACCAGAUCAGCCAUCUCCAUGUGCCAAGCCUGGUAUCAAUGCUUUAGAGGAAAAGUCCCUAGAAAAAAAAUAGAUGAGAGUUGAUGAUACUACAC